rnacentral:rRNA from 2 species
CCGUUCAGGGGUAAACCUGAGAAACCCAAAAGAUCGAAUAGGGAGAUUCAUCGUCAACGGCGUUGGCUUCCGUGCGUGACGUGAUGCCGCGGUGUUUCGAUGCCGUGGCACGCGUCCGCUGCGGCAUGACUGGCGCUCGUCGGCGUGCACUUCUCCCUUAGUAGAACGUCGCGACCCGUUGGGUGCUGGCCUACGGCCCGGAUUGGUCGACUGUCUCGCUUCUGCGAGGCAGACCGUCGGUUUCGCCCGGCCGGCUGCCCGGCGGUAUUGAACGCUUGUACACGAUUGGUAUUGGGCCGCAUUGAAUGCGUUCCGGCUCGUCGGCAGAUCCGUCUCGCUUGGUUUUUACGGGCCUAGUUUACCGUGGCCGAGUGCUUGGCGCGAUCGUUAGUCGACGAUGUCCUCGAACUGGCUCAUUCCAUAUUCAUUAUGGAAAUUACCGGUCUGCGACGCUUUUGCUUUGGGUACUUUCAGGACCCGUCUUGAAACACGGACCAAGGAGUCUAACAUGUGCGCGAGUCAUUGGGACUUGUUUAUUAAAGCCUAAAGGCGCAAUGAAAGUGAAGGUACGGUCUUGCACCGGCCAAGGGAGGAUGUCUCGCUAUACGUGGCGAGUCCGCACUCCCGGGGCGUCUCGUGCUCAUUGCGAGCAGAGGCGCACCCAGAGCGUACACGUUGGGACCCGAAAGAUGGUGAACUAUGCCUGGUCAGGACGAAGUCAGGGGAAACCCUGAUGGAGGUCCGUAGCGAUUCUGACGUGCAAAUCGAUCGUCGGAACUGGGUAUAGGGGCGAAAGACUAAUCGAACCAUC